GCUGGCGGCGUGGAUAAGACAUGCAAGUCGAACGAGACUUUUCGUUGUAGCAAUACGAUGGAAAGUUUAGUGGCGAACGGGUGCUUAACACGUGGGCAACCUGCCAUGAAGUGGGGGAUAGCUCGCCGAAAGGCGAAUUAAUACCGCAUGUGAUUAGAGAGGACAUCCUUUCGAAAUUAAAGUCGGGGCAACCUGACGCUUCUUGUGGGGCCCGCGGCCUAUCAGCUAGUUGGUGAGGUAACGGCUCACCAAGGCUUUGACGGGUAGCUGGUCUGAGAGGACGACCAGCCACACUGGGACUGAGACACGGCCCAGACACCUACGGGUGGCAGCAGUCGAGAAUUUUUGACAAUGGGGGAAACCCUGAUCGAGCGACGCCGCGUGGAGGAUGAAUGUCUUCGGAUUGUAAACUCCUGUCAUUGGGGAACAAUGCACAGAUAUUAACUGUAUUUG
rnacentral:rRNA from 1 species